AUGAACGGCAGGGGCUUUCAUAAGCUCAAUGAAGCAUUGCUUGUCCUACUCACCAAGAAACCGGACGCAUCCGCGCUCACAGACUACAUGCCAAUUAGCUUGAUCCAUCUCCUAGCUAAGCUCUUUGCUAAGGUUCUUUCCAUACGCUUGGCGCCGCGGAUGGGGCAAAUUGUCUCUGCCAACCAAAGUGCCUUCAUCGCCGACCGGAGCAUGCAUGAAAACUUCCUUCUGGUCCAGCAAAUGGUGCGCCUACUCCACAACCUAAAGGCCCCGCGAAUCCUCGUCAAGCUUGAAAUAGCGAAGGCAUUCAACAUGGUCUCCUGGCCCUUCCUCCUGCAAGUCCUAUGA
rnacentral:rRNA from 1 species